GACGAACGCUGGCGGCAUGCCUAAUACAUGCAAGUCGAGCGAACAGAUGAAGUGCUUGCACUUCUGACGUUAGCGGCGAACGGGUGAGUAACACGUAAGGAAUCUACCUAUAAGCGGGGGAUAACAUUCGGAAACGGGUGCUAAUACCGCAUAAUACCUUCUUCCGCAUGGAAGAAGAUCGAAAGACGGCUCUGCUGUCACUUAUAGAUGACCUUGCGGUGCAUUAGUUAGUUGGUGGGGUAACGGCCUACCAAGACGAUGAUGCAUAGCCGACCGGGGAGGGUGAUCGGCCACAUUGGGACUGAGACACGGCCCAAACUCCUACGGGAGGCAGCAGUAGGGAAUCUUCCGCAAUGGGCGAAAGCCUGACGGAGCAAUGCCGCGUGAGUGAAGAAGGCCUUCGGGUCGUAAAACUCUGUUAUAAGAGAAGAACAAAUUGUAGAGUAACUGCUACAGUCUUGACGGUAUCUUAUCAGAAAGCCACGGCUAACUACGUGCCAGCCGCCGCAGUAA
rnacentral:rRNA from 1 species